UACGGAGGGUGCGAGCGUUGUUCGGAAUCACUGGGCGUAAAGCGCGUGUAGGCGGCUCUGUAAGUCUGGUGUGAAAGCCCGGGGCUCACCCCCGGAAGUGCACUGGAAACUGCGGAGCUCGAGUCCCGGAGAGGAGAGUGGAAUUCCUGGUGUAGCGGUGAAAUGCGUAGAUAUGCGGAGGAACACCGAUGGCGAAGGCAAUCCCCUGGGCCUGCACUGACGCUCAUGCACGAAAGCGUGGGGAGCAAACAGG
rnacentral:rRNA from 1 species